rnacentral:lncRNA from 1 species
UGUCGAAUACCUCAGUUGAACAGAAGGAACUGAAAAUGGGAAAGAAAAAGAAAAAAAACAAACCAAGAAAAUUAUGGUUCUUUUAGGGACCAGGAAGCAGGGAUUUACAUUCAAUUUGCAGUCCUGAAGGUUGUUGUCCACCUGGAUGUGGCUGCAUAGUCAGCACCAAUUUAUGGUACAUUUUGAUUGAUUCAGAACAAGACAGGGCUUGACUAUAGAGUCUGUCCAUGUCCACUUUCUAAGUAAGCACAUUCUGCAUCUCAGAACUUUUAUGUUCAUGAACUCUUCCAAACCAACACAAUUGUAAAGGGGGCAGAAACGAGAGCUGUGCUACUCUUCUCAUAACAGGGAAAUCCUGGGAGUGAAACCUUCUGUAAAAGCAGCUGGGAUGUUGUCUUGCUUACUGAUUGGUAACAACUGGGCUUCAUGUUUCCAUAGUGCAAGAUUUGUAAAAGGUUAAAAAAAGAUGUGCUGUUUCUUGGUGUAUCACAGAAUUCCUUCAAGUCUGUGUUUUAUUUCAUGUCUAGAUCAAAAUAUUACCUCCUGAGCCUGUGUGCACGUGGCUUGGUUGCUGGGACACCUGCCAGCCAGGAAUUGGGGAUGCCUGGAAUCAUGUGCUCAGCAGGAAAAUGUCUUCGUGAGGGGAGAAAGGCAGUAAUCACAGAGAAGUUGAAAGGAAGUGACAGAGGCAGAAGCGGGACCUCUGCUGAUGUUUCUUCCAGCAGGAUGCAUAGUAGGUCCCACCAGUGGGAAAUAAAAGCACUGAGUCACAGCUCUGAUUCAACAUGGAGCAGCACUCCCAUUGCUGGCUGUGGCUGUCAGGUAUCACUCGGAAGUACAAGUGUAUUGCCUCUUACCAGAUCUGCCAUCUACCACCUGAACCAGGGCUGUGCUGCUGUAUUGCUAGUGUUUAAAUGUUUCUCCCCUUGCACCCAGCAGAUUAAAGCUCUGUCAUGUUUGUGUGUCUGUAUGUGUGUCUGAAAAGAGAAAGAGGCUCAUUUUUUCUAUUAAAACGGAAGUAAUGUGUUAUCAUCAUAAUUAUGUCUUAUUGUUUGCUACUGUGUAAAGAUAACAAAUCAGGACUGAGUCACAGGAGCAAAUGCAAAAAUUACAUUUUUAUAAGAAUAAGGUCACAGGCCACAUGAUUUGUUGCGGAACAAAUGCAGUAAUUAAUUGGCCUCUCCCUGCAAUGGUAGAACAGGCAUCUUAACUACAGAAGAACCAGGAAAUGGAAAGCAGCAGUGUGCAGGAGUGCAGGAGGACCAUUGGUAUUAUUCUGGGGCUUACAGUGAGCUCUAAUAAGAAAUAAAAAUGUCAUUGGUAGGUCAUUGGUGGAGAGAGAAGAAAGGCAAUAUCUUUAGAAUUGCUGCUUUGACAAUACCAGUGUAUAUUUUCUGUUGUUUAAAGAUUUUUAUUGUGGGAAAUGUGGAAAAAAAUAUAUUUUAAAUAAUUAUUUUAGGUUUAUUUUUUCUUUACAUAUUCCAUAUGGAGAGAUUACAUGUAGGGUAUGGAACAGAGAAAGCUUUUUGGAAUUUGUGCUAUUUUUUUUAUUUCUCUGAGGCAGUGAUAGACCAGAACCAGCCCAAUGAAUGCAUACACGUGCCUUUUGUACAGACAUUUUCUUCACUGCAUUGAUUAGGGAAAAAUCUUAGAAAACCUAUCCAAGGGCAUAUACAGUCACCUUCAAAGCCUUACCCCGUCAUCAAUGAAGAAAUGCAGGAUUGGACUCUCCUGUCCUCUUCUAAUGCCCACUUCACUAGCACUGCUUGGUCGAUGGUUUUGGCUCAUUGCCAUGUGAAUCCUGUCUGGCACAGACAUUUUCAGGGUGUCCACAGAUUGUAAGGGACUGAUGCAGUUCACUAGCAAUAGAAAUCAAUAGUUACGUUGGAAAAAAAUAGUUAUUUUAAAUAUCCACAUAUAUCUUGUCAAUUUGGGUUUGGUGACCUUUUGUAAUCCAGCACUGUUGAGCCGAAAACAAAGGGAGGAAAAUCCAGGAGUUUCCCUUUCUCUGGUAUUUGAAGCACAGAAAUAUGACUGGAUGUAAAUGACUUGUGUUUGUGUCUGAAGCUCGUAGGCUGGAUAUCGUGGCUCAGCUGCUUUUCUGCACUGCUUUUGACCACACUGCCAUCCUCCAGCUUCCCCAGAAUUUAAGACUGUACCUUUUUAUCUACAGCAAUAUUUUCCCUGCAGAUUUUAAUAAUUAAUUGGGACAAGCCUGGUGGGCCUGGAGAUGAGCGCAAAAGAGGCAGCAGAUCAGUGUGACCAAGUGACCUUUUGCUGUCCUGCCAGUCCCUGUGCUCAAAGGGACACUGUCAAAAUUGCUAGCCCUUAAAGCUGUAACUUGCUCUGACAACUUGUUCUACAUUAUAAGUCUUACCUAAAAG